GGGGGGCAUGCGACCCUGGUGGGCGCUGCGGGCUUCAAACCCGUUGUUGGGACCGGUGCCGGAACUCAAGGGAGGUUCGAUUCCUCCGCCCUCUC
rnacentral:tRNA from 1 species